rnacentral:rRNA from 1 species
GGAUGGGGAUGCGUCUGAUUAGCUUGUUGGCGGGGUAACGGCCCACCAAGGCGACGAUCAGUAGGGGUUCUGAGAGGAAGGUCCCCCACAUUGGAACUGAGACACGGUCCAAACUCCUACGGGAGGCAGCAGUGAGGAGUAUUGGUCAAUGGACGAGAGUCUGAACCAGCCAAGUAGCGUGCAGGAUGACGGCCCUAUGGGUUGUAAACUGCUUUUAUAAGGGAAUAAAGUGAGUCUCGUGAGACUUUUUGCAUGUACCUUAUGAAUAAGGACCGGCUAAUUCCGUGCCAGCAGCCGCGGUAAUACGGAAGGUCCGGGCGUUAUCCGGAUUUAUUGGGUUUAAAGGGAGCGUAGGCCGGAGAUUAAGCGUGUUGUGAAAUGUAGACGCUCAACGUCUGCACUGCAGCGCGAACUGGUUUCCUUGAGUACGCACAAAGUGGGCGGAAUUCGUGGUGUAGCGGUGAAAUGCUUAGAUAUCACGAAGAACUCCGAUUGCGAAGGCAGCUCACUGGAGCGCAACUGACGCUGAAGCUCGAAAGUGCGGGUAUCGAACAGGAUUAGAUACCCUGGUAGUCCGCACGGUAAACGAUGGAUGCCCGCUGUUGGUCUGAAUAGGUCAGCGGCCAAGCGAAAGCAUUAAGCAUCCCACCUGGGG